CCGGUAGUUCAGUUGGUUAGAACGCCAGCCUGUCACGCUGGAGGUCGAGGGUUCGAGCCCCUUCCG
rnacentral:tRNA from 1 species